ACAGAGAGGAAGUGUGUUAUCACCAACGAGGACCAGGCUUGCUGAGAAAGGCUCAGAUUCAAGUCAUGAUGUGUACUAUGUACAGAUUGGCACACAUUUGAUGUGUAACCACUGA
rnacentral:lncRNA from 1 species